AUUGAACGCUGGCGGCAGGCCUAAUACAUGCAAGUCGAACGAGUGGCGGACGGGUGAGUAAUGUCUGGGAAACUGCCUGAUGGAGGGGGAUAACUACUGGAAACGGUAGCUAAUACCGCAUAACAUAAGUUGUGCCAAGAUGGGAUUAGCUAGUUGGUGGGGUAACGGCUCACCAAGGAGAAGAUCCCUAGCUGGUCUGAGAGGCUGACGGGCCACACUGGAACGGAGACACGGUCCAGACUCCGACGUGAGGCAGCAGUGGGGAUGAUUGCACAAGGGGCGCAAGCCUGAUGCAGCCAUGCCGCGUGUGUGAAGAAGGCCUUCGGGUUGUAAAGUACUUUCAUCGGGGAGGCGUUACCCUCAGAAGAAGCACCGGCUAACUCCGUGCCAGCAGCCGCGGUAAUUC
rnacentral:rRNA from 1 species